AGAAUGGGAGUGAGGAGGCCUGGCUUCACAAUGGGUUUGGUACAGCAAGUAAGCAUCCGCAACUAAUGCUAUCUGCCCUUAAGAGAAGAAACUUUGGAAAAAUGCUGUGUGUGUAUAUAGACAUGUGUAGGUGUGAUAUGGUUUGGCUGUGUCUCCACCCAAAUCUCAUCUUGAAUUGUAGCUCCCAUAAUUCCCACGUGUUGUGGGAGGGACCUGGUGGGGAAUAAUUGAAUCGUGGGAACGGUUUCCUCCAUACUGUUCUUGUGGUAGUGAAUAAGUCUCAUGAGAUCUUAUGAUUUUAUAAGGGGAAAGCCCUUUUCUUGGCUCUCAUUUUCUCUCUUUGCCACCACCAUGUAAGACAUCCCUUUGCUCUUCCUUCAUCUUCUGCCAUGAUUGUGAGGCCUCCCCAGCCAUGUGGAACUAUGAGUCAAUUAAACCCCUUUCUUUAUAACUUACCCAGUCUUGGGUAUGUCUAUUGGCAGCAUGAAAACGGACUAAUACAAGCUGUGUAUAGACUAGGGACCAAACUCAUGGGAGGGGUAAUUUAAGAGCCCAG
rnacentral:lncRNA from 10 species